rnacentral:rRNA from 1 species
AAGUCGAACGGAAAGGCCCUUCGGGGUGCUCGAGUGGCGAACGGGUGAGUAACACGUGGGUGAUCUGCCCUGCACUCUGGGAUAAGCCUGGGAAACUGGGUCUAAUACCGGAUAGGACCAUGGGAUGCACGUCUUGUGGUGGAAAGCGUUUUGUAGCGGUGUGGGAUGGGCCCGCGGCCUAUCAGCUUGUUGGUGGGGUGAUGGCCUACCAAGGCGACGACGGGUAGCCGGCCUGAGAGGGUGUCCGGCCACACUGGGACUGAGAUACGGCCCAGACUCCUACGGGAGGCAGCAGUGGGGAAUAUUGCACAAUGGGCGCAAGCCUGAUGCAGCGACGCCGCGUGGGGGAUGACGGCCUUCGGGUUGUAAACCUCUUUCAAUAGGGACGAAGCGGAAGUGACGGUACCUAUAGAAGAAGCACCGGCCAACUACGUGCCAGCAGCCGCGGUAAUACGUAGGGUGCGAGCGUUGUCCGGAAUUACUGGGCGUAAAGAGCUCGUAGGUGGUUUGUCGCGUUGUUCGUGAAAACUCACAGCUUAACUGUGGGCGUGCGGGCGAUACGGGCAGACUGGAGUACUGUAGGGGAGACUGGAAUUCCUGGUGUAGCGGUGGAAUGCGCAGAUAUCAGGAGGAACACCGGUGGCGAAGGCGGGUCUCUGGGCAGUAACUGACGCUGAGGAGCGAAAGCGUGGGGAGCGAACAGGAUUAGAUACCCUGGUAGUCCACGCCGUAAACGGUGGGUACUAGGUGUGGGUUUCCUUCCUUAGGGAUCCGUGCCGUAGCUAACGCAUUAAGUACCCCGCCUGGG